rnacentral:rRNA from 1 species
GACGAACGCUGGCGGCGUGCCUAACACAUGCAAGUCGAGCGAAUGAAGUUCCUUCGGGAAUGGAUUUAGCGGCGGACGGGUGAGUAACACGUGGGCAACCUGCCUCAUAGAGGGGAAUAGCCUUCCGAAAGGGAGAUUAAUACCGCAUAAGAUUGUAGUACCGCAUGGUACAGCAAUUAAAGGGGCAAUCCGCUAUGAGAUGGGCCCGCGGCACAUUAGCUAGUUGGUGAGGUAACGGCUCACCAAGGCGACGAUGCGUAGCCGACCUGAGAGGGUGAUCGGCCACAUUGGGACUGAGACACGGCCCAGACUCCUACGGGAGGCAGCAGUGGGGAAUAUUGCACAAUGGGGGAAACCCUGAUGCAGCAACGCCGCGUGAGUGAUGACGGCCUUCGGGUUGUAAAGCUCUGUCUUCAGGGACGAUAAUGACGGUACCUGAGGAGGAAGCCACGGCUAACUACGUGCCAGCAGCCGCAGUAACAC